rnacentral:rRNA from 1 species
AAGCCAGGCGGCGACGCCGAGCGGAACCCGAAAACCGGUCUCAGUUCGGAUCGGAGUCUGCAACCCGACUCCGUGAAGCUGGAUUCGCUAGUAAUCGCGCAUCAGCCAUGGCGCGGUGAAUACGUUCCCGGGCCUUGUACACACCGCCCGUCAAGCCAUGGGAGCCGGGGGUGCUUGAAGUGCGUCGCCGCGAGGCGCGCCCUAGAGCAAAACCGGUGACUGGGGCUAAGUCGUAACAAGGUAUC